AAUAGUUGGUAACAAUUGGUAUAUAGGUAUAUAUUUUCCGCGUAGUAAUUAUUAAAACACAUUGCCAGUAUAUAAUAUGUGAUAUAGGUACGAGGUGAAUUCUUUCAUCGCUAAGCCGAUAACUUUUCAUCGACGUUAUUUCAAUGAAUGGCUUGAUACACCUCUCGGUGUUAUAUUCCGGAAUGCGAAGGGACAAAUGGUCAAAGGGAGGAAAAUAUAAUUAUUACCAUAGCAACCCUGCAGUUCUCGCACAGUCAUGGCGGCGGAACCAGACGACAAAACCAAUAAUAUUACUUUAAAACAAACACCAAAUUUGCUUUUGGAUUGUUAGUAUCAGAUUAUUAGUUUUGAUAACUAACUAGAUUCCAUUUUCAAACUCGGUAUUAUGAACAAUUUGGAAGGUUUACGUAAAUAAUUAAAUAAAGGCAAUUCGUAAUUUGAAAUAUAGAGUGAUAGUAACAAAUUAACAAAUAAUUUGAAUGUAGGAAUAAUAAUAAACUGAAUUCUUGUUGAUAUCGUUCUUGGUUUAUAUUGUAAUAAUCGAUAGUUUACAUUUUUUUGAGAAACAUGUUAGUCUAACUUGUUUAUGAUAUUUAAAUAAAGUAUUAAAUUAUAUUUAA